AGCAGCCGCGGUAAUUCCAGCUCCAAUAGCGUAUAUUAAAGUUGUUGCAGUUAAAAAGCUUGUAGUUGAAUUUCGGGAUCAAUUCGUCGGUCGUGCUUUUUGGUACGUACUGGCGUUAUUGGUUUCUCCCUUCUGACGAGCCAUGAUGUCAUUAAUUUGGUGUUAUGGGGAGUUAGGACUGUUACUUUGAAAAAAUUAGAGUGUUUAAAGCAGGCAUUAGCUCGAAUACAUUAGCAUGGAAUAAUGAAAUAGGACGUUCGAUCCUAUUUUGUUGGUUUCUAGGAUCAACGUAAUGAUUAAUAGGGAUAGUUGGGGGCAUUAGUAUUCAAUUGUCAGAGGUGAAAUUCUUGGAUUUAUUGAAGACUAACUACUGCGAAAGCAUUUGCCAAGGAUGUUUUCAUUAAUCAAGAACGGAAGUUAGGGGAUCGAAGACGAUCAGAUACCGUCGUAGUCUUAACCAUAAACUAUGCCGACUAGGGAUCGGAUGAUGUUAAUUUUUUAAUGACUCA
rnacentral:rRNA from 1 species